GGGCUUGUGGUUUAGUGGUAUAAUACUCCCUUAGCAUUCGUUGCAACUUGGGAGUGGUCCGGGGUUCGAUUCCCCGCGAGUCCA